UACGAAGGGGGCGAGCGUUGUUCGGAUUUACUGGGCGUAAAGGGCGCGCAGGCGGCUAUCCAAGUCAGGCGUGAAAGCCCCGGGCUUAACCUGGGAGGUGCGUCUGGGACUGGGUGGCUAGAGUUCGAGAGAGGAGAGUGGAAUUCCCAGUGUAGAGGUGAAAUUCGUAGAUAUUGGGAAGAACACCGGUGGCGAAGGCGGCUCUCUGGACCGAGACUGACGCUGAGGCGCGAAAGCGUGGGGAGCAAACAGG
rnacentral:rRNA from 1 species